CCUACGGGAGGCAGCAGUGAGGAAUAUUGGUCAAUGGACGAGAGUCUGAACCAGCCAAGUAGCGUGAAGGAUGACUGCCCUAUGGGUUGUAAACUUCUUUUAUAUGGGAAUAAAACGUUCCACGUGUGGGAUUUUGUAUGUACCAUAUGAAUAAGGAUCGGCUAACUCCGUGCCAGCAGCCGCGGUAAUACGGAGGAUCCGAGCGUUAUCCGGAUUGAUUGGGUUUAAAGGGGGCGUAGGUGGAUUGUUAAGUCAGUUGUGAAAGUUUGCGGCUCAACCGUAAAAUUGCAGUUGAAACUGGCAGUCUUGAGUACAGUAGAGGUGGGCGGAAUUCGUGGUGUAGCGGUGAAAUGCUUAGAUAUCACGAAGAACUCCGAUUGCGAAGGCAGCUCACUGGACUGCAACUGACACUGAGGCUCGAAAGUGUGGGUAUCAAACAGGAUUAGAUACCCGUGUAGUC
rnacentral:rRNA from 1 species